CUGAGGUAUUUUGGCCCUGGGGAGGACCCGUAGCCUGAGCCUCUGCUGGCGUCCGUAGCCGGGAAACCCGGCGCUUUGGGCUGAGGUCCGCGAUGUCGGGUGAGGAAGUCCCGCGCCAGGCAGAGUCCUCCGAGGCCCGUGCGGCCGCAGUCAGCAACAUCCAGGAACUGAUGAGACGCAAGGAGGAAAUCGAGGCGCAGAUCAAGGCUAAUUACGACGUCCUGGAGAGCCAAAAAGGAAUUGGCAUGAACGAGCCGCUGGUGGACUGUGAGGGCUACCCCCGGGCAGAUGUGGACUUGUACCAGGUCCGAACCGCAAGGCACAACAUCAUCUGUCUCCAGAAUGAUCACAAGGCACUAAUGAAGCAAGUGGAGGAGGCCCUGCACCAGCUCCACGCGCGGGACAAAGAGAAGCAGGCUCGGGACAUGGCUGAAGCCCGAGAAGAGGCCAUGAACCGCAGGCUGGGCUCCAGCAGCCCUGCCCUGCCCCAGGCCUUCGCCAGAGUGAACAGUAUCAGCCCUGGCUCCCCUGCCAGUAUUGCGGGCCUGCAAGUAGAUGAUGAAAUUGUGGAGUUCGGCUCCGUGAACGCCCAAAACUUCCAGACACUGCAGAACGUGGGCACCGUGGUGCAGCACAGCGAGGGGAAGCCCCUGAACGUGACCGUGAUCCGCAGAGGGGAAAAGCACCAUCUCAGACUGACUCCAACCCGCUGGGCCGGAAAAGGACUGCUAGGCUGCAACAUUAUCCCUCUCCAGCGAUGACUGUUUCCUGGACCGGCAGGAACACUGCUUCUGCUGGGCCCUGGGCGUGGCCCUGGGCGUGGCCCUGGGAGGGUUUCCUCAUUCUCUUGGCUCCCUCAAGUUUAUUUCCCCAGUUGCCACCCGUUUGUGUUUUGGAUGUCUGGCACUUUCUACAAGGAAGCUUGUGUGCUUGGAUUGGAUUUGCUCGGGAUGGAGGCAAAGGCCCGCUUUCUCUGAUGGCAGUCAGUUCUGACGUGUGGACUCGAAAGCCUUCCCCAAGCUGCUUCACCCAGACAGCCUCACGCGCCCCUCCUGUAGCCAGACACGCUCUGUGUUUGCUGUUUCAAUUGUAGGUUGUUAAGUCCAAGUAUUUUCCAGACUCUUUAUAAGGUCUCACACUAUAAUAAAAGAGCUUGUUUCCUUCA